AUUGAACGCUGGCGGCAGGCCUAACACAUGCAAGUCGAACGAGUGGCGGACGGGUGAUUAAUGUCUGGGAAACUGCCUGAUGGAGGGGGAAAACUACUGGAAACGGUAGCUAAUCCCGCAUACCACCGUGUGUCCCCAGAUGGGUUUAGCUUUUGGGUGGGGUAACGGCUCACCAAGGCGACUAUCCCUAGCGGGUCUGCGAGGAUGACCAGCCACACUGGAACUGAGACACGGGCCAGACUCCUACGGGAGGCAGCAGUGGGGAAUAUUGCACAAUGGGCGCAAGCCUGAUGCAGCCAUGCCGCGUGUAUGAAGAAGGCCUUCGGGUUGUAAAGUACUUUCAGCGGGGAGGCGUUACCCGCAGAAGAAGCACCGGCUAACUCCGUGCCAGCAGCCGCGGUAAUUC
rnacentral:rRNA from 1 species